rnacentral:rRNA from 1 species
AUUGAACGCUGGCGGCAUGCUUUACACAUGCAAGUCGAACGGCAGCGCGGGCUUCGGCCUGGCGGCGAGUGGCGAACGGGUGAGUAAUACAUCGGAACGUGCCCAGUAGUGGGGGAUAGCUCGGCGAAAGCCGGAUUAAUACCGCAUACGACCUGAGGGUGAAAGCGGGGGAUCUUCGGACCUCGCGCUAUUGGAGCGGCCGAUGGCCGAUUAGCUAGUUGGUGGGGUAAAGGCCUACCAAGGCGACGAUCUGUAGCUGGUCUGAGAGGACGACCAGCCACACUGGGACUGGGACACGGCCCAGACUCCUACGGGAGGCAGCAGUGGGGAAUUUUGGACAAUGGGCGAAAGCCUGAUCCAGCAAUGCCGCGUGUGUGAUGAAGGCCUUCGGGUUGUAAAGCACUUUUGGCGGGAACGAAAAGGACUGGGCCAAUACCACGGUUCGAUGACGGUACCCGCAGAAUAAGCACCGGCUAACUACGUG